rnacentral:lncRNA from 1 species
AUAAUUUUAAGUCAUAUUAAACUUCAUUUUUUUAUUUGUAUCACCCCCCCCCCCCCCCCCCCCUCNNNNNNNNNNNNNNNNNNNNCCCUUUGGAUAUUCUAGCACAUUUUACUUGUGGAUUCCCCCUCUACACUGUCACAGCUGUAACUUGUAGCACAGGCUGUGGGAGUCUAAAUCUUUUCUGUAAUUCAUGUAAUGACCCAAUAUAGUUCAAGUGCCCUCACAAAUCCAAUGGAAUUUGUUUAUCCUGAGGCUGAUGCUCAAGCAUGAACAAGAAAAAUACAAAUAAGGUGUUUGAAUGCAAGGGCUGUUGCAGAAAUAACUUUAUUUGAUCAUUUCCAUUACACAAUAGCAUGUUUAUUAUAUACAAAGAGUGUCAAAGACCAUAUUCUUCACACUAGAACAUCUAUUACAUAAUUAUAUUGCAGUGUAAGGGUGUAUCUUAAUGUAUAAUGUUACAUUCUGAUAUUCUGUCAUUCAUUUUGCAGGUAAAAUCAUUCACAGGUACCACAAGACAUAUCACAAUGGAUCAAAAUGCUGAACAGCCAAAGCAAAAUCAUACCCAUCUGGCUACAAAGUCAUAAUAAUAACUUUGUCUUGAUAGUUUUAUCACUGCUAACAAAAUUAAUUAUUUCUAAUAAAUGAUAAUUCAUUAUUCUUUAAAAAAGAGGUUGAACUAUGAACGUCUCACCAUCAAAUAAUUCUGCAAUUAGACCAAAAAGAGAUUAUAUAAUUAAAAUAUUGUAAAAUAAAGUUUUCACUACAGACAAAAGAGUAAGAAAGUGAAGAGAGGAAAUGAGAAAAGCAUGCUUUUUAAAAGCUACCACACUAUUUAAAGGCUUGAAUGUAUCAUGCAACUACCUGA